CGCGGGGUGGAGCAGUCUGGUAGCUCGUCGGGCUCAUAACCCGAAGGUCGUUGGUUCAAAUCCAACCCCCGCUACGA
rnacentral:tRNA from 1 species